rnacentral:rRNA from 1 species
CCUACGGGAGGCAGCAGUGAGGAAUAUUGGUCAAUGGGCGCGAGCCUGAACCAGCCAAGUCGCGUGAAGGAUGACUGCCCUACGGGUUGUAAACUUCUUUUAUAAAGGAAUAAAGUGAGGCACGUGUGCCUUUUUGUAUGUACUUUAUGAAUAAGGAACGGCUAACUCCGUGCCAGCAGCCGCGGUAAUACGGAGGAUCCGAGGGUUAUCCGGAUUUAUUUGGUUUAAAGGGAGCGUAGGUGGGUUGUUAAGUCAGGUGUGAAAGUGUGCGGGUCAACCGUAAAAUUGCAAUUGAUACUGGCAGUCUUGAGUACAGGUGAGGUAGGCGGAAUUCGUGGUGUAGCGGUGAAAUGCUUAGAUAUCACGAAGAACUCCGAUUGCGAAGGCAGCUUACUAACCUGCCACUGACAUUGAUGCUCGAAAGUGUGGGUAUCAAACAGGAUUAGAUACCCCAGUAGUC